GACGAACGCUGGCGGCGUGCUUAACACAUGCAAGUCGAACGGAAAGGCCCUGCUUGCGGGGUGCGCGAGUGGCGAACGGGUGAGUAACACGUGGGUGAUCUGCCCCUUAGUUUGGGAUAAGCCUGGGAAACUGGGGCUAAUACUGGAUAGGACCAUGCUGUAGGUGGUGUGGUGGAAAGAUUAGUUUCGGUAUGGGAUGAGCUCGCGGCCUAUCAGCUUGUUGGUGGGGUAAGGGCCUACCAAGGCGUCGACGGGUAGCCGGCCUGAGAGGGUGGACGGCCACCUUGGACCUCAGCUACGGGCCACACUCCUACGUGUGGCAGCAGUGGCGAAUAUUGCACCAUGGGCGCAAGCCUGAUUCAGCAACGUCGCGUGGUCGAUGACGGCCUUCGUGUUGUAAGCUCCUUUCAGCCAUGGCGAAGCCCUUGUGGUGACGGUAGUUUUCGAAGAAGCGCCGGCUAACUACGUG
rnacentral:rRNA from 1 species